UCUAUAUAAAGCUUACUAUUUGUUUAUAUAUAGUAUAAUUAUAAAAAAAAUAUUUUUUUUUGUUAUUGUAUUUUUUAGUGAUGUAAUUGUUUUUAGUAAUAUAUAAAUUUUACUGUGAAGGUUAGAUGAAAUAUUUAAAAUUAUUAUAAAUAAAGUUGAUUUUAUUUAUUGUACCUUGUGUAUCAGGAUUAAUUAAUUAUUUUUUAUAUAUUUUAUUAAUCUCGAUUUUAUUAGGGUUAAUUUAUUGUUUUAGUUAUUGUUAUAUAAAUAUUAAUAACAAUAAAUUAGUAAUGAAAUGUUAUUCGUUAAUAAGGAUAUCUAGUUUUUUGGGAAAUAAAUUAAAUUUAUAUUUUGUCUUUAAUAUUUUUAUUUAAAAAUUUAAUUUUAGAUUGAAAUAAAUGAAUUGGGGGAUAAGCUCUAUUUCAAAAUUUUAUGGAAGAUAAUGAUUGAAGAUUAUGUGGAUUUUAUAAUAAUUAUCACUGUAAGUAUAUUAAAAUUUUAUUUGUUUUUUAGUUAAUUUUUUUUUUCUUAAAUCUAUACCAAAGAUUUUUAAUUAACUUUUAUUAAUUUUAAUUAUGAUUAAAUUAGUAUAAUUAUAUUUAUUUAAUGAUUUUUUGUUUAAAAUAGAUUUGAGGAAUUAGGCAAAAAAAAAUAAAUAAAAGAGUUAUUCGCCUGUUUAACAAAAACAUCUUCUCUUGAUAAAAUAAGAGGUAUAACCUGCUCAAUGAUUUUAUUUAAUAGCCGCGGUAUAUUGACCGUGCAAAGGUAGCAUAAUCAUUAGUCUUUUAAUUGUAGGCUGGAAUGAAUGGUUGGACGAGAUAACAUCUUUCUUAAAUUUAUUAAUUAAAAUUUAAUUAUUGUGUUAAAAAGCUCAAAUUUUUUUUUGGGACAAGAAGACCCUAUAGAGUUUAAUAUUUAAUAUAAUUUUUUUUUAAUUUUUGAUAAUUAUAAAGAGUUGAUUAAAAUUAUUUAAUUGGGGUGAUGAAAAGAUAUAAAAAACUCUUUUUUAUUAUUUAUAUAUUGAUUAAUAAGUUUUUGAUCCAUUAUUAAUGAUUAUAAGAUUAAAUUACCUUAGGGAUAACAGCGUAAUCUUUUUUGAGAGUUCUUAUCAACAAAUAAGGGUUGCGACCUCGAUGUUGGAUUAAGAUAAAUUAUUGGGUGUAGAGGCUUAAAUUUUAGGUCUGUUCGACCUUUGAAUUCUUACAUGAUCUGAGUUCAAACCGGCGUGAGCCAGGUUGGUUUCUAUCUAUUAAUAGUUUUAAUGUUUUAGUACGAAAGGACCAAAUAUUAAAAAUAAUUUUUGUUUAUUGAGUAAAAUUAAUUAAA
rnacentral:rRNA from 1 species